rnacentral:rRNA from 1 species
UGGGGAAUUUUGCGCAAUGGACGAGAGUCUGACGCAGCAACGCCGCGUGGGUGAUGAAGGUCUUCGGACUGUAAAACCCUGUCGUCAGGGACGAAGGUGGGGACGUUAAUAGCGUUUUCACUUGACGGUACCUGGAGAGGAAGCCCCGGCUAACUCUGUG